rnacentral:rRNA from 1 species
AGGACGAACGCUGGCGGCGUGCCUAACACAUGCAAGUCGAACGAGGCUUAUCCGGUAGCAAUACCGGAGACUGCCUAGUGGCGAACGGGUGAGUAGCACGUGAGCAACCUGCCCCGAAGACUGGGAUAACACCGGGAAACCGGUGCUAAUACCAGAUGCCCCCACCGGAUCGCAUGAUCUGGUGAGGAAAUGGAUUCCGCUUCGGGAGGGGCUCGCGGCCUAUCAGCUAGUUGGUGAGGUAACGGCUCACCAAGGCUUCGACGGGUAGCUGGUCUGAGAGGACGAUCAGCCACACUGGGACUGAGACACGGCCCAGACUCCUACGGGAGGCAGCAGUGGGGAAUCUUGCACAAUGGGCGAAAGCCUGAUGCAGCAACGCCGCGUGAGGGACGAAGGCUUUCUGAGUUGUAAACCUCUUUCAGCAGGGACGAUUGUGACGGUACCUGCAGAGAGCCCGGCAACUCGCGCCAGUACGCG